GAACUAAAGAGUUUGAUCCUGGCUCAGAUUGAACGCUGGCGGCAUGCCUUACACAUGCAAGUCGAACGGCAGCACGGGGGCAACCCUGGUGGCGAGUGGCGAACGGGUGAGUAAUGCAUCGGAACGUACCUGGUAGUGGGGGAUAGCCCGGCGAAAGCCGGAUUAAUACCGCAUACGCACCACGGUGGAAAGCGGGGGACCUGCAAGGGCCUCGCGCUAUCAGAGCGGCCGAUGUCGGAUUAGCUAGUUGGUGGGGUAAAGGCUCACCAAGGCUUCGAUCCGUACCUGGUCUGAGAGGACGACCAGGCACACUGGGACUGAGACACGGCCCAGACUCCUACGGGAGGCAGCAGUGGGGAAUUUUGGACAAUGGGCGCAAGCCUGAUCCAGCAAUGCCGCGUGUGUGAAGAAGGCCUUCGGGUUGUAAAGCACUUUUGUCCGGAAAGAAAUCUCCUGAGCCAAUACCUCGGGGGGAUGACGGUACCGGAAGAAUAAGCACCGGCUAACUACGUGCCAGCAGCCGCGGUAAUACGUAGGGUGCGAGCGUUAAUCGGAAUUACUGGGCGUAAAGCGUGCGCAGGCGGCUAUGCAAGACAGGUGUGAAAUCCCCGGGCUUAACCUGGGAACUGCACUUGUGACUGCAUGGCUAGAG
rnacentral:rRNA from 1 species